rnacentral:rRNA from 1 species
UACAGAGGUCUCAAGCGUUGUUCGGAUUCAUUGGGCGUAAAGGGUGCGUAGGUGGCGGGGUAAGUCAGGUGUGAAAUCUCGAGGCUCAACCUCGAAACUGCACUUGAUACUGCCUUGCUUGAGUACUGGAGAGGAGAUUGGAAUUUACGGUGUAGCAGUGAAAUGCGUAGAUAUCGUAAGGAAGACCAGUGGCGAAGGCGAAUCUCUGGACAGUUACUGACACUGAGGCA